rnacentral:misc_RNA from 1 species
UGCUAAGAUAAUGUAUGCAAAAGCCGAGGAAAAAUUAGGGAAGCGGAGCGGGGUUUUACUUUCAGAGCUAGCAGAUCAACAAUAUCGGCGAGGCGACCUCUGAAAUUCUAGCUUAAAGCAAUUUUAUUACCUUGAUCAGCCUUUCUCUGCUUCUCUUUUGCCCUCCAUGGCUACCAUACCAGUUAAUCCUAAGCCUUUCUUGAACAACUUGACUGGGAAGACUGUUAUCGUAAAACUCAAGUGGGGAAUGGAAUACAAAGGCAAGCCUACCUUGUCUUUUUCUUCUUUUUCUUAGUAAUUUCAAACUUAUUGUUCAUUAUUUCAACUGGUUGCCCUUUCAGGUUUUCUUGCUUCAGUGGAUUCAUACAUGAAUCUACAGGUCCUGCCUCAAUUUACUUGUAUCAAUUAAUUUUUUAAUCUUAGUUUCCUACUUUCUUACCAUUAUCCCAUGUAACUUAAGUGAAAUACAAUCUUUCACAAUCUGUUGGAGUUUCUUUAUGUGUAAUUUCGACUAUUUCUCCUCUUUGGUAUACAUUGUUUGUAACCUUUUACAAUUAUUGAAUUCUGAUAUGCAGCUGGGUAACACUGAAGAAUAUAUUGACGGUCAAUUCACUGGAAAUCUUGGAGAGAUUCUGAUCAGGUACCUUAUAACUAAAUGCCUCCUGGUAUGAACAUUUCGUACAGGGCAUGGGUGUUAAACCUCGAAUUUCUUUUAGUUGAAGUCAGUGGUAGAAUCAGAAAUUGACAUUAGGGAGGCCAAGAUCUAAUAAUUUGUUACUCUCCUGAAAAUUGAAUAGUCACUAUCUGUUAGAGUUAAAAUAGUAGCUUUUAAAUUUUCAGAAUCCCUUUUCAUAAAAUACGUAUCAAUAAUUUUAUUUUUUUACUCAUGAUAUUAACGUCUUAAUUUUACUAACUUAAAAUUUUAUUAGUUCACAAUUUAAACAUACACAUAAUUACAAAAGUAAAACUUAAAAUUUUAUGAAAACUUUUAUAAAUUCACAUUUUGCACAUGCAUAUAAUUACAAAAAUAACACAAAAGUAGUUAAAAAUUAAUAAAAAUUUUCGUCAAAUUUUCCAUCUAUUUUUACUAAAUAUCAAAACUUAAUAAAUACCCUAUAAAAUGAAAUUAUCAAUUUUAAUUAUGGAAUAGAAUGAAAAUGAAAAGUAGAAUGAAAUUAUUAAUUUUGAUGGGCUGAAAUGUUUACUUAAUUAUGAAUUUGAAUUAUAAAAUAGGGCAAGAUAAGAUUUUGAAGAAUAAUUUCACUUGAAUAUUAGAAAAAAAAUAUUUUAGUGUGGGUUAGGAGUUGAGAGAAGGGAGAUUGAGG